AUGGCGCCUAUUCACGUCUCCUCCUCGGAGGUCAUCCUCCUGGACGACAACGACGACGAGGAGCUGCUUGGUAUGAACAUCGCUGACGUGACCUCCCUUGACGACCUUGACUUCUCCGACGACGGCCCCGGCAACAAGAAGACAUGUGCUGUGGACAAUACCUCCUCUCAAGAUGCUGCUGUUGACGUCGACAAUUACUCCACCAAAUCCAACGGCCUUGCAUUCUUAGACCACGACGGGCACAGAUGCGAAAAGGCCGACGACGUUGUUGUUAUCUCCUCCUCCGGCGAUGAGGAGUCAGCUGCUGACAUCGGCGCCAUGGACUCCAAUAGUGGCAAAUCGUUUGUCUCCGUCGACUCAAAUUCAAUAAGCAAGAAGAAGCGGGGGCCAAGGCCCCAGUACAACUACUGGCACUUCAACGACGAGUGCCAAAUAAUUGAUGCCGAUGGGAUGCUCCGAAGGAAGAAGAAAUACAAAGGCGGGGACGUACCGGUGCCGGCGCUCAUACAGAAGUUAAAAAAGGGCCCGUCACCCAUCAUCUACGUCACCCAUCAUCUACCGUGGUGA
rnacentral:rRNA from 1 species